UCUCCUUCUGGUCCUCACUUCACCGAUUGGGUGAAACCCUAGCCGCCACUCCCCGUCCGGCCUCUCUCCUCCACUCCCCAUCGCGCCUCCUCUCCUCCACUCCCCGCAGCCGCCGACGAGCUCUCGUCCCCUCUCUCUUCGCCGAGAUGGCCACCACCACUGCUCUCUCCUCGCCAUCGUUGGGAGGCGUGUGCAGGCCGUCGCUCGCCUCCCUCCUGCUCCCCAUCGGGACAGGGCAGGAGGAUGAGCGCCCUCCCUCGCGACCGCCUCAACAAGAAACAGCUGUCGCUGUCGCUGCCAACGAGGACAUCUAUUGGAACCCGUCCAUCCACUCCCACAUCUUCAUCUUCCCCAUCUCCGACGUGGCGGCGGGGGACGAGGGCGGCGAGGCGUGAUGAGCAUUCUGUCAGCGAAAUCCGCCAUUGACGGCCUCGAGGGUGCUGCUGCAGCACGGGGAAGUUCGUCUACUUCCACGGCAUAGGUUGUUUGUUGCUGCUGAUGUUCCUCUCCUCUGCAGCCAAGUACUAGACGCUAUAUGACUGAUCUGCCAAAGAGCGAACCUAUUACUCGUGUCUAAUGCAUUUUACCAACCAACACGACCGUGCUCCUUCAGAGAUCUGCCGCCACUGCGAAGCCCAGCUCCUGAGUGCUUCAAAGCAAAAGAAAGUCAUGCAGUAUGUUGCAAUUAUAUUGUGAUGAUUGGCAUGGAGAUGUUGUCGUGUGGCCAAUCAUCAAGUGAAAUGAUCGGACGACCAGUAAGCCCAAAUCACCGAGGACCACAUCACCGCCGCCAUGGAUGCAUCAUAUCAAGGUGUUUGCCUUACAGUCAAGGUAUUUUCCAUCCUUAUUCUACACAAGCAAACACAUUGGUCUGACUAAGAAGUUCAAGGAGAAUGACAUGGCUUAUGCUGGGUCUGCAACAUUCAGUUAUGUGGCAUUCAUGUUGACUGAGAAGAUCUUUUCUGUUGUUGACAUGAUUUUGGAGGUUUGGUUCAAUUAGAAAGAUCAAUGCCAUGUUCCAUCUUACCUAAUGUUGUUACUAUUGCAGCUUGCAAGGACAGCUUAGUUGACUGCAACCUAGAUCAAUGUGCAUUGGUCUGGAAACAAGAACAACCCUUUAGAUUCUCGAUAUGGUCAUUGUGAAUAGCGAGGUCGAUAGCUAUAUAUUUGUCCCUGGCAAGAGGACCGAGUGUGGGCAGGUGGGCAUCGGCAAGACGGGUGAUACGUCCAUUUUGUAUCAUGCUUUUAUAUCAAUAUUUAUUACAUUGUGGGCUGUUAUUAUAUAUUAUAUCUCAAUACUUAUGGCCAUUUCCUCUUAUUUUACAAGGUUUACCAUGAAGAGGGGUAAUGCCGGCAGCUGGAAUUCUUGCUGGAAAAUGAGCAAACGUUGGAAACCUAUUUUGCACAGCUCCAAAAGUCCUGAAACUCCACGAAACAACUUUUUGGAUUUAAUAAGAAUUUCUGAGCAAAAGAAAUAGUCCAGGGGACCCACACCCUGUCCAGGAGACAGGGGGCGCCCCCCUAUAGGGCGCGCCCCUUAUCUCCUGCCCCUUGGUGGGCUUCCGGCGUUCAUCUUCUGCUAUAUCAUCAUUUUUACUCUGGAAAAAAUUGUGGGCAAGCUUACGGGACGAAAUUCCGCCUUCACGAGGUGGAACCUUGGCGGAAUCAAUCUAGGGCUCUGGCAGAGCUGUUUUAUCGGGGACACUUCCCUCCGGGAGGGGGAAAUCAUCACCAACGUCAUUACCAACGAUCCUCUCAUCGGGAGGGGGUCAAUCUUCAUCAACAUCUUCACCAACAUCAUUUCCUUUCAAAAUCCUAGUUCAUCUCUUGUAUCCAAUCUUGUAUUAAAACCACAAAUUGGUACCUGUGGGUUGCUAGUAGUGUUGAUUACUUCUUGUAGUUGAUGCUAAUUGGUUUACUUGGUGGAAGAUCAUAUGUUUAGAUCCUUUAUGCAUAUUAUUACUCCUUUGAUUAUGAACAUGAAUAUACUUUGUGAGUA